rnacentral:tRNA from 3 species
GCCGAGGUGGCAGAAUCAGGCAAAUGCGCCAGACUUGAGAUCUGGUGUUCUCCGGAACGUUAGGGUUCAAAUCCCUACCUCGGCG